AUUUUGCAAUUUAAAAAAAAAACAACACUUUAUUAACUAUACAUGUACUAUCUAUUUACAAAUAAUCAACGUCCUGAUGUGAAUGAAUUUCUUUUAAUUUUUAAUUUGAAACCAAUUCGAGACAAAUUAAUCCUUUCAUGGGUGUCGUAGUUGACUAAGGGUUAUGUGAAGAAGAAAUAGUUAAAAUCUUUUACAAAAUAUCUAAACAACAUGCUUGGGCUAAUCUUAGAAAUAAACACCUUUUUUUUAAUUUUAAUUUUUAUUUUGGUAAAGACAUUUGAUUAUUAAAAAAGAUAUAUGUGCUAGAUAUAUUUGCAAAAAAAAAAAACAA